ensembl:lncRNA PDGFA-DT PDGFA divergent transcript
AUUAGUCGGUUCACACAGUUCACUGCAAACAUUUGAUAAUGAGGCUAAAUAUACUCCCGCGUCGGAGGAGGCGUGGGCGUCCCCGCCCAGGCCCGGGAGACAGAGGCGCUGACCCCGGGACAGAGCCUGGCUUUGUGCGGGAGGCAGACGCGCCCCGCGCGCCGCCCCCGAAACAUUCGCACCCCAUGCUGAGGCGCGCGUCUGGGAGUCCGUGGGCGCCCCGAGGGGCAGUGGAAGCCGUUGGAGGGCCUCAGGCAGGAACACAAGGUGUCGUGGCAGAAAGGAAGAAGGGGCCGGGCACGGUGGCCCACACCCGUCAUCCCAGCACUUUGGGAGGGAGGCCAAGGCAGGAGGAUCGCUUCAAUCCAGGAGUUCAAGAUCAGCCUGGGCAACACAGCAAGACCCCGUCUCUACUAAAACCCUAAAACUUAGCCAGGCUUGGUGGCAUGUGCCUAAGGUCCCAGGUCCUCGGGAGACUAAGGCAGGAGGAUUGCUUAAGCCCAAGAGUUUGAGGCUGCAGUGAACUAUUAUCACACCACUGCACUCAGCCUGGGUGACAGAGUGACUCUGUCUCAAAACUAAAUAAAUAAACAAUAAUUGUGUUAUUCUGUCU